rnacentral:lncRNA from 1 species
AAUAAAAAACAUAUAUAUAAUAGUAGAAUAAAAUAAUAUCAAAUACAUUAUAAUAAAACAUAAAAAACAUAUGAGAGGAGACAUUAGAGAAGAUGAAAAAAAGAACAUAAAAGAUGCGGGAUUGAGAAGAAAUGUGCGAUAAAAAUGUAAUUGGAAGAGAAAAUAGUAACAUAAAAGAUAAAAAAGAAAGAACAUAAGAGAGGAAAUAUUAUAGUAGAAAAGGUGAAACGUA